rnacentral:rRNA from 1 species
UACAGAGGGGGCAAGCGUUGUUCGGAAUUAUUGGGCGUAAAGGGCUCGUAGGCGGUCCAUCGCGUCGGGGAAUGAAAAGCUGGGGCUCAACCCCAGUCCUGCUUCCGAUACGGGUGGACUAGAGGUAUGCAGGGGAGAACGGAAUUCCUGGUGUAGCGGUGAAAUGCGCAGAUAUCAGGAGGAACACCGGUGGCGAAGGCGGUUCUCUGGGCAUUACCUGACGCUGAGGAGCGAAAGCGUGGGGAGCAAACAGG